rnacentral:rRNA from 1 species
AUUGAACGCUGGCGGCAGGCCUAACACAUGCAAGUCGAGCGGCAGCGGGACCUUCGGGUUGCCGGCGAGCGGCGGACGGGUGAGUAAUGCCUAGGAAUCUGCCUGUUAGUGGUGGAUAACGCGGGGAAACUCGCGCUAAUACCGCAUACGUCCUACGGGAGAAAGCGGGGGCUCUUCGGACCUCGCGCUAACAGAUGAGCCUAGGUCGGAUUAGCGAGUUGGUGGGGUAAUGGCCCACCAAGGCGACGAUCCGUAACUGGGCUGAGAGGAUGAUCAGUCACACUGGAACUGAGACACGGUCCAGACUCCUACGGGAGGCAGCAGUGGGGAAUAUUGGACAAUGGGCGAAAGCCUGAUCCAGCCAUGCCGCGUGUGUGAAGAAGGUCUUCGGAUUGUAAAGCACUUUAAGUCGGGAGGAAGGGCUGUAGGCUAAUACCUUGCAGUUUUGACGUUACCGACAGAAUAAGCACCGGCUAACUUCGUGACAGCAGCCGCAGUAA